UUGACAUCCAGAGAACUUAGCAGAGAUGCUUUGUGCCUUCGGGAACUCUGAGACAGGUGCUGCAUGGCUGUCGUCAGCUCGUGUUGUGAAAUGGUUGGGUUAAGUCCGCAACGAGCGCAACCCUUAUCCUUUGUUGCCAGCGGUUCGGCCGGGAACUCAAAGGAGACUGCCGGUGAUAAACCGGAGGAAGGUGGGGAUGACGUCAAGUCAUCAUGGCCCUUACGGCCAGGGCUACACACGUGCUACAAUGGCGCAUACAAAGAGAAGCGACCUCGCGAGAGCAAGCGGACCUCAUAAAGUGCGUCGUAGUCCGGAUUGGAGUCUGCAACUCGACUCCAUGAAGUCGGAAUCGCUAGUAAUCGUAGAUCAGAAUGCUACGGUGAAUACGUUCCCGGGCCUUGUACACACCGCCCGUCACACCAUGGGAGUGGGUUGCAAAAGAAGUAGGUAGCUUAACCUUCGGGAGGGCGCUUACCACUUUGUGAUUCAUGACUGGGGUGAAGUCGUAACAAGGUAAGCGUACGUGU
rnacentral:rRNA from 1 species